rnacentral:rRNA from 1 species
AGAGCGAACGCUGGCGGCAGGCUUAACACAUGCAAGUCGAGCGGGCGUAGCAAUACGUCAGCGGCAGACGGGUGAGUAACGCGUGGGAACAUACCUUUUGGUUCGGAACAACCCAGGGAAACUUGGGCUAAAUACCGGAUAAGCCCUUACGGGGAAAGAUUUAUCGCCGAAAGAUCGGCCCGCGUCUGAUUAGCUAGUUGGUGAGGUAAUGGCUCACCAAGGCGACGAUCAGUAGCUGGUCUGAGAGGAUGAUCAGCCACAUUGGGACUGAGACACGGCCCAAACUCCUACGGGAGGCAGCAGUGGGGAAUAUUGGACAAUGGGCGCAAGCCUGAUCCAGCCAUGCCGCGUGAGUGAUGAAGGCCCUAGGGUUGUAAAGCUCUUUUGUGCGGGAAGAUAAUGACGGUACCGCAAGAAUAACGCCCGGCUAACUUCGUGCCAGCAGCCGC